rnacentral:rRNA from 1 species
AUUGAACGCUGGCGGCAUGCUUUAUACAUGCAAGUCGAACGGUAACAGGCCUUCGGGUGCUGACGAGUGGCGAACGGGUGAGUAAUGCAUCGGAACGUACCCAGAGGUGGGGGAUAACGCAGCGAAAGCUGUGCUAAUACCGCAUGUGAUCUGAGGAUGAAAGCGGGGGACCGAGCAGCAAUGUUUGGCCUCGCGCCUUUGGAGCGGCCGAUGUCGGAUUAGCUAGUUGGUGGGGUAAAGGCCUACCAAGGCGACGAUCCGUAGCUGGUCUGAGAGGACGACCAGCCACACUGGGACUGAGACACGGCCCAGACUCCUACGGGAGGCAGCAGUGGGGAAUUUUGGACAAUGGGCGCAAGCCUGAUCCAGCAAUGCCGCGUGCGGGAAGAAGGCCUUCGGGUUGUAAACCGCUUUUGGCAGGAACGAAACGGUGUCCGCUAAUACCGGGCGCUAAUGACGGUACCUGCAGAAUAAGCACCGGCUAACUACGUG